AAGGAUUCUCCCUAAGAGCGUCCAGAAGGAACAAAUCCUGCCAACAUGUUGAUUUGAGACUUCUGACCCCCAGAACUAUAUGAGAUGCUGCACAGCAUGGCUUGAUGAGUGGUAUGUAGGUCUGCUCCUGGGAUCCGAACCCACAAACCCCGGGCCGCUGAAGCAGAGCAUGUGAACCCAACCACUACACCACCAGGCCAACCCCCAAGGAUACCACUUUUGACUGCUCACCAUGUGAUGACACUGUGCUGAGUGUGGUGGUAUAUCCUCGCCUAAAUUGCCACAUCAUUCUCAACAGUAGCUGCCUCGACCUCCCCAUGUUACAGAGAUUCACUGGGCUCCAGUCUCUGCAGCACCUCCAAGGCUCCUUCCAGAGGGGUCCUGGCCGCCAGCACCAGGGCUGGGUGAGGCCUUUGUGUGACC
rnacentral:lncRNA from 1 species